rnacentral:rRNA from 1 species
GAUGAACGCUGGCGGCGUGCCUAAUACAUGCAAGUCGAGCGAACGGACGCGAAGCUUGCUUUUCUGAUGUUAGCGGCGGACGGGUGAGUAACACGUGGAUAACCUACCUAUAAGACUGGGAUAACUUCGGGAAACCGGAGCUAAUACCGGAUAAUAUUUUGAACCGCAUGGGUCAAAAGUGAAAGACGGUCUUGCUGUCACUUAUAGAUGGAUCCGCGCUGCAUUAGCUAGUUGGUAAGGUAACGGCUUACCAAGGCAACGAUGCAUAGCCGACCUGAGAGGGUGGUCGGCCACACUGGAACUGGGACACGGUCCAGACUCCUACGGGAGGCAGCAGUAGGGAAUCUUCCGCAAUGGGCGAAAGCCUGACGGAGCAACGCCGCGUGAGUGAUGAAGGUCUUCGGAUCGUAAAACUCUGUUAUUAGGGAAGAACAUAUGUGUAAGUAACUGUGCACAUCUUGACGGUACCUAAUCAGAAAGCCACGGCUAACUACGUG